rnacentral:lncRNA from 1 species
UAUGCAGCUACUUUUCGACUCUUGACUUGAGUUUCAGCACCCUGAUCUCCGGGUGGGCUCCCGACUUGUAAUUUCAUCACUUUAUUCUCCAGGCGGGCUCCUAACUUGCAAUUUCUUUAACUUGUUGCUUGACUUUCAAUUCCUUCACCCUGUUCUCUAGGCAGGAUCCUGACUUGGUAUUUUUCAAUCUGUUGACUUUCAAUUUCUUCACCCUGUUAUCCAGGCGGGCUCCCGACUUGCUAUUUUUCAAUCUGUUAACUUUCAAUUUCUUCAUCUUGUUGCUUGUUUUUCAACUUGUUGGCCUUGUUGUUUGACUUUCAACUUCUUCACUUUGUUGCUUGACUUUCAACUUAUUCGCCCUGUUCUUCAGGCAGGCUCCUGAAAUCUUAUCAAAACUAAAAAGAAAAUUAUUCCAAACAAAGAUUAUUAUAAUGAGAGAUUCCAUUUACCGGAAAAGUAAAGUUCCAAACAACAGGAGUUAGAUUUGUUGCCCCAGUUUAUCAUAAGAGGACUUUUGUGAAUGUCGAAUCCAAUUAUAAUUAUUUGUAUGUUGCAAUGAUGAAUCAAGACUCUGACCAAGAAAUGCAUCUCUAGAGAGUAAAAUUAAAUGACCAAGACUAGGAAGUGUGUCUCCUAAGAAUUAAAGUGAGGAAUUCCGACUAGAAAGUGUGUAUUCUAGAGCUAAAGGUUCAAAUUAGGAAGUGUGCCACCUGAUAAAUAAAAACUGACAAGGAAGUGCAUCCCCUAGGGGUUAAGUGCAAUGAUUCGACUAGAAAGUACAUCUUCUAGGAAUCAAGGGGACUGACUCGACUAGGAAGGACACCUUUUAGGAAUCAAGGGGACUGACUCAACUAGGAAGCACACUUUCUAGGAAUCAAGGGGAAUGACUCGACCAGGAAGUAUUUCUUCUAGGAAUCAAGGGGACUGACUCGACCAGGAAGUACAUCUUCUAGGAAUCAAGAGGGAUGACUCGACCAGGAAGUACAUCUUCUAGGAAUCAAGGGGAAUGACUCAACCAGGAAGUACAUCUUCUAGGAAUCAGGGGGACUGACUCGACUAGGAAGUUCAUCUUCUAGGAAUCAAGGGGACUGACUCAAUCAGGAAGUAAAUCUUAUGGGAAUCAAGGGUACUGACUCGACGAGGAAUCACAUCUUCUAGGAAUCAAGGGAAGUGACUCGACUAGGAAGUACAUAUUCUAGGAGUCAAGACUUAAUUUAGGAAGUGCAUCACCUAACAAGUAAAAUUCGAAUUACCCAAUCAAGGAAGUGCAUCUCCUUACCAAUGGCGCUUGAAUUGCCGAAACAAAGAAGUGCGUCUACUUACCAAUGUCGCUUGAAUUUUCCAAACAAGGAAGUGCGUCUCCUUAUAAAUGCCACUUGAAUUACCCAAACAGGGAAGUGCGUCUCCCCACAAAUGCCACUUGAAUUACCCAAAGAAAUGCGUCUCCUUACAAAUGUCGUUUGAAUUAACCAAACAAGGAAGUGCGUCUCCUUACAAAUGACGCUUAAAUUAUCCAGACAAGGAAAUGUGUCUCCUAACAAAUGCCACUUGAAUUUCCCAAGGAAAUACGUCUUUUUACAAAUGUCACUUAAUCUACCCAUACAAGCACUACUAAAAAAUGUCAAAAAGCGACGGCCAGCGUCGCUUUUUUGGGCAAAAACGAUGGAAAUUCAUCGUUUUUUCGGUCUUAAAAAGGGGUGUCAUUUUUUGAAAACGAUGGCCUGAGUCGCUUUUACGAAUUUUUUUUAAAUUAUUUUUUUAAAAAGCAACGUUGUGCGUCACUUUUUCUUCUUUAUGUGAAGAACUCAUGAUGAACCAAAAAUGAUGGACAUCGUCGUUUUAUUAAAAAAUAAUUUUUUUUCAAAAAAAUUAACACUGUCUGUCAUAAUUUGAGAAAAAUAAAAUAUAUUUUUUAAAAAGGCGACGUUGGUCAUCGAUUUUUGUUCUUCAUUAUGAAUAAAAAGUGACGUUGGUCGUCCCUUUUUGUUCUUCAUAAUGAAUAAAAAGCAAUGUUGGUCGUGGCAUUUUGUUCUUCAUAAUGAAUAAAAAGCGACGUUGGUCGUCACUUUUUGUUCUUCAUAAUGAAUAAAAAAGCGACGACCGUCGUCGAUUUUUUGUAAAUUUUUUAUGCAGAAAUCUGCAUUUUCUGCAUCCCACCUGUCAAAUAAAAAUGCAAUUCAAUAUAUACAUCCCUCAUGCAACACACAUCAUUACAAUAUUCAUACAACAAACUACAUCAACAAAUCAUUUAACCAAUUCAAAUCAACAACACUUAAACAAAUUUCAAUGCUCUAAUUCACUUCUCAAAUGACUUAACUUAACCAUUUUCAAGUUAUGAAUUCACAUUUCACGUAUCAACACUAAACCAAUUUCAAGUCAUGAAUUCACAUUUGCAAGUGAUUACACUUCAAAAAUUUAAAAACACAAGUUCACCAUGCAAGAACUACAUUAAUCCAUUUUCAAGUCGCUAAUCCACUUUUCAAGUGACUAGUACACAUUUCAAAACACUACACUUAACCAUUUUCAACUCUCUAAUUCAUUUCUCAAAUGACUAAACUUAACCAUUUUCAAGUCAUGAAUUCACAUUUCAAGUAUCAACACUAAACCAAUUUCAAGUCAUGAGUUCACAUUUUCAAGUGAUUACACUUUACAAAUUUCAAAACACAAGUUCACCUUUCAAGAACUACAUUAAACCAUUUUCAAGUCGCUAAUCCACUUUUCAAGUGACUAGUACACAUUUCAAAAUACUACACUUAACCAUUUUCAACUCUCUAAUUCACUUCUCAAAUUACUAAACCUAACCAUUUUCAAAUCAUGAAUUUACAUUUCAAGUAUUAACAUUAAACCAAUUUCAAGUCAUGAAUUCAUCUUUUCAAGUGGUUACACUUUAACAAUUUUAAAACGCAAGUUCACCUUUCAAGAACUACAUUUCAAGUCGCUAAUCCACUUUUCAAGUGACUAGUACACAUUUCAAAAUACUACACUUCUCAAAUGACUAAACUUAACCAUUUUCAAGUCAUGAAUUCACAUUUCAAGUAUCAACACUAAACCAAUUUCAAGUCAUGAAUUCACAUUUUCAAGUGAUUACACUUUACAAAUUUCAAAACAUAAGUUCACUUUUCAAGAACUACAUUAAACCAUUUUCAAGUCGCUGAUCCACUUUUCAAGUGACUAGUACACAUUUCAAAACACUACACUUAACCAUUUUCAACUCUUUAAUUCACUUCUCAAAUGACUAAACUUAACGAUUUUUAAGUCAUGAAUUCACAUUUUCAAUUGAUUACACUUUAAAAAUUUCAAAACACAAGUUCACCUUUCAAGAACUACAUUAUACCAUUUUCAAGUCGCUAAUACACUUUUCAAGUGACUAGUACACAUUUAAAAGCACUACACUUAACCAUUUUCAACUCUCUAAUUCACUUCUCAAGAGACUAAACUUAACCAUUUUAUAGUCGUGAAUUCACAUUUAAAGUUUCAACACUAAACCAAUUUCAAGUCAUGAAUUCACAUUUUCAAGUGAUUACACUUUACAAAUUUGAAAACACAAGUUCACCUUUCAAGAACCACAUUAAACCAUUUUCAAGUCGCUAAUCCACUUUUCAAGUGACUAGUACACAUUUCAUAACACUACACUUAACCAUUUUCAACUCUCUAAUUCACUUCUCAAAUUACUAAACUUAACCAUUUUCAAGUCAUGAAUUCACAUUUCAAAUAUCAACAGUAAACCAAUUUCAAGUCACGAAUUCACAUUUUCAAGUGAUUACACUUUACAAAUUUCAAAACACAAGUUCACCUUUCAAUAACUACAUUAAACCAUUUUCAAGUCGCUAAUCCAAUUUUCAAGUGACUAGUACACAUUUCAAAAUACUACACUUAACCAUUUUUAACUCUCUAAUUCAUUUCUUAAAUGACUUAACUUAACCAUUUUCAAGUCAUGAAUUCACAUUUCAAGUAUAAACACUAAACCAAUUUCAAAUCAUUAAUUCACAUUUUCAAGUGAUUGUUGACACCUAAUUUUUUUCCUCCGUAACUGAGUUUAGUCUUGAGUUUCUUCGAUUUUAAAAUAAAAUUACAACAUUUACUUUACCCGAAUAAAAGAUUUUCAAAUCGUUUAGUCGGCUAAUUUCAUCGUUUAAGUGACGAUUAUAUACUAUCGUAUUCAAUUAUACGAAAAUAUAUAUAUAAUUUUGUCGCUUAAACAUUUAUUCUACGGAAUGCCGGUCUUUUAAUUAAGGAUUAUCUUGAAAAUAAUUUUAAUAAUUAGAAUCUUGAUUCAAAUAAUUUACUCUCAAAAAAUAAUUUAUUCGGAUGAAUAUGUGUUUAAUUUUUAUCGAAUCAAGAAGCUUGGGGUUAAAUAAGCUAUUAAUUCAUUUCAAGAAAUGAUUUAAUUUGGAAAAUCUGUUACAUUCGUCCGCAAUUGAAAUCAAAUUGGCCAUAAUUGCGAUGCAAUUGGCCAAUUGAUCUUCAAUUCAGCCAAAACCUGAAUGAAUGGCCAAAUCCUCAAUUUCAACCCAAUUAGCAAAUCAGUAGCGGCCCAUUUUCUCUUCAAUUAUAUCAACCGGACCGAGCCAUAUAUUCCUGACCCACCAGCCCACCCCCUAUUUUCCAAAUUCCCAAAAUAAUCUAAACCAGCCCAAUGAUAAUUAACUGCCACCCCAAGCCCAACAACAAACGACCGGCCCAGCGCCUAAACCCCUACCCAGCCCAUCUUCUUUUCCUCUUUAACUUCCAUAAGCAACAAAAACUUCAAGUCAACACCAACCAUCGUUAACACCAACCAAAUCUAGAACCCACCUUCAACCCAGAAUUUGGAGAAACUAGAAACCAACUCCAUCCUUCUUCACGCGUUCCAUGCGAUAGCACGAUGAGGAAAGACCUAAAAGCUUCUAGAAAAUAGGUGAGUUGGCUCACCCCAACGGAUAAAUUCCAUGAAUCUCAAAAUUAUUGGUACGAUUUCAUACCUAUGUGUUUGGUUUUGAUUUGUUUUGGGAGGGGAUUUCUACUUUUCCUUUUCCUAUUGGUUGGAACCAAUUCAAAAUUUUCCAAGAAUCCAAAAAUCGGUACAAGUUCGAGUAACAAAUCCCGUUGUCAACCUUAUCAUCAGUUUUGAAUUUUGAAAUUUUUGUAAAAUACCAAGACUGCCCUUACGGGAAGCCCAAAAAUGAACCCUAUCUUUUUGUUUCUCUAUAAAGAGGGGGGCUUGAGUAUUCUAAGGGAGUCUCUUGCUUUUGGGGGGAGGAAGGAAAAAAUUUCUUGAGAGGAAAAUUCUAGGUCACUGUUUAUGGCAUUUUUUUUCUCUUCUUUUCCUUCUGAGGUUGAUAUUACGAGGUUAGUUAUCGAGAGGGGUUUUUCUUUUCUUUUUUUUUUUUGGCUUUUUGGGGAGGGGUUAGAAAUCUUGGUUGAAAUUAGAAGGUUUGAGACAAGAUUUGGAAAGAAACUGAAGAAAAAUUUUUCUUAAGCUAGUUCGAAAGGUUGAUUAGAAGUUGGGUUGGGGAUUCUGAAAUCAAAGAAGUUUAUUUCCUGAAAAAUUUGCUCGUCCAUUUCUUUUUUGGAAGCUAGUCGAUUAAUUAGGAAUUCCCGAGUCGACAACAUUAAUUCCCAGUGGUGACGACUUUACUAAUAGCUUAUCGUCCCGCUUGCUGCUCUGGAAUAGGUAAAGAUCCCUCAUCCUGUUUAAUAUACCGUUCUCUUCUUCCACCUUGUUUCAUUGUAAUGAUGUUUGGUCAUUCGAAUAUAAGGUCUAUUAGGGGGGCUGUAUUGGUUUAAAAGAUGAACAUAGUGUCUAUUAUGAGGGUGUAUGAUCUUUUGAAUGGUGGAGAGUCUGUUGUCUGGUUAUUUUCUUAAAGAAAUCCCUAUUCAUAGUUUCAUCUUGGUUGGUUCUGGUUCACUUGUUUUAUUUUGUUCACAAGACUGAAGCUUAAAAUGUGUAGGGGUUUUGUGGGUAUCCUGACCCCUAUUGAUCAAUUGCAAAAAAUGUGUUGGAAGUACAAGUAGUUUAUUAGCACGUGAGUCGUCUGAUGGUUGUUUAUAUUUUCAAACUCAAGUUGUCCGCUUGAGAACCAGUUUUCAAACCCACUCUAGAUACUUAGGAUAGAGCGAAACCAAAACCCUAUUUUAGGUAUGAGCCUAGGACGACAUAAUACCCGAGUGGGGUAUUGGGCCCAUUGAAAACCUACCCUGCGUCUAUUAACCCCGAGUAAAUUACAGAAGAAUCAUAUUUAUGUGUUGAAGAAAUAUAUGUUUGUUUUAUCCAAUCCAUUAUCCUUUGGGGGUCGGGAGAAUACUUGUUUUACUCACUUUUGUAUAAGGAUGCCUCAAUCGUACACCGAUUGACGAAAGAAUUGAAAUUGAUCGAUUUGGAAGGUUGCAUCUAAGGCACAGUUUACAUACGUCACCAAUAUAAGAAGGCGGAGGUUGAUAGAAGAAGCACUCAGGAAUUAGUAUUUUCUAUCCCCUGCGUGGGAGCUUUUCUUCUUUCAUGCUAUUUCCCUUGUUUCCUAAAGAUUGUACCCCUCUUUUGUUAUCGUUUGUAAGCACUUACGCAUACCUUUUUCGUGUCUAUAUAAGUUGGAUGAUAAUGGAUUGACUUUAUGAAAGCAUAUACUUUCUUCAAAAAUCGUUAGGCCUGAACCCUUGGUUCAAAAAGGGUCACCCCAGUUAGGAUACACAUUAUUAUAAUGUUUUGUGUAAUUGUCUUAUGAGCUUAUGUGUGUUUGUUUGGAUCAAAGGCAAGUUGAUCCGCUAUGCUCCUAUGGAUUAAUUGGAUAUGACUCAAACAACUCUACGUGGUUAUUUCUUGUCAAAUAUUUUGCAUUACUUAUCACAUACAAAAACUAACACAUCUGCUUUUGAGUUGUUUUACUUUACAGAUAAUAGAAACUACUCUGUGUUGAUAUAAGCUGGCAGAACAUCCCUACUUUAUCCACCCUAAAGUGCAUAAAAUCCCAUCCUCUGACCAUCAUUCAAUAGUGAUUGGAAAUGAUGAAGAAAACACGUUGGCCAUCAGGGACAAUGUAAUAGUGGAACAGAGUGAGAUGAUUGCGAAACUCGCAAGAAAAUUAGAAAUGCUUCAGGAGGAAAUAAAUCGUACUCGAGAUUUGGCUCACCUGGCCAUCACUAUUAAUGCUCCCGCUCCAGGAGAACAUGAUACUCCACUCCAAAUCCCUUCCCUCAGUACGCCUAUUCUUGGGGAUCAACCAAAUAACAUAUCAUUCGUCUCUGCCCCUCCACUUGUCCAAAAUACCAAUCAUGAAAAUAACCCAGAUGCUUACCAUCCACAAAAUCCAUCUCUAACCCCACAAAAUCCAUUUCUGAAUCCAUCUCCAAAUCCUCAAAAUACAUUCACAAAUCAACAAAACACAUUCCCAAAUCCGCAAAAUUCACUCCCAAAUCCACAAAAUAUGUCAAACCUACCUUUGAAUCCACCAAAUUCAUUUCCAAAUCUGCAAAAUCCUUCUCAUAUUCUGCCAAACUACUCACAAAGUCCACAGAACCUUCCCAAUUUUCAAAACAUACUCCCCACUUACCAACCAAGUUCUUUUCUUCCACAAAAUCAAGCCUCCCUUCAAAAUCCCCCUCAAGCCAUCAUAUCCCCUGAUAUUUUUGAACCCCUUCCUAACCCUGAGAUGGACCAUUACAAAGAAAAGGAGAAAGAGUAGAGUAUGAACCCCUUCCGAACCCCGAGAUGGACCAUUACGAGGAGAAGGAGAAAGAGUGAAGGACCCAGCAUGAAAGGAAUUUACUAGCUAUGAAGGAAGAGAUCAUGAGGAUCAAAGAGUCUCAUAGAGCCAGGGACCACGGCGGUUUAGGGUAUGACGAUUUAUCCGUUCACCUGGGAGUAGACCUACCAUAUGGGUACAAAGUCCCUAAGUUUGAGAUAUUUGAUGGUACCAAAAAUCCAAUGGCCCACCUGAGAAGGUACUGUGAGCAACUGGUAGGAAUAGGGAAAAACGAGGCAUUAUUGAUGCGCCUAUUAAGUCAAAGUUUGAGUGGCAAAACCUUGGAGUGGUUCAUGUCUCAGGAGCUAAAAAAGUGGACUGGAUGGAAAGCAUUGGCCAAGGGUUUCCUUGACCGGUUCGUAUUCAGCAUUGAAAUAGUCCCUGAUCGAUAUUCACUAUAUCGGAUCAAACAGAGAAAAGUUGAGAGUUUUUGAGACUAUGCUUUUCGUUGGAGAAAAGAAGCCGCCAAAGUGCAACCCCCCAUGUCCGAGGAGGAAAUGGUAUUCGUGUUCUCUCGCGCUCAUGAAGGAGAAUAUUAUACCAGGAUGGUGUCCGCUGUCAGGGCAAUUUUUGUGGAUUUGGCAAAAAUAAGAGAAUAAUUGGAAGAAGGUAUUUGGACAGGGAAAAUUGCCAAAACCCCGACGUCGUCUGCGACUGUCAUGUUCUCGAAGAAGAAAAAUGAAGAUGUAGGUGUGAUUUCUGCUAAUCCUGUUGCGAAAACGAAAAAGAGGUUCAACUUUAGAAAUGUUUUAUCUUCUCCGCCGUCACCCAACCUCCAACACGUGUUCUACGCGCAUCCCCAAUACCUAGCUCCACUCUCAAAUGCCCAACCUCCAUAUUAAUAAAAAUUAUGUAAAAUGUCGGAUUUGAAUUAAUAAAUUAUGAAAAAUGAUAAUUUAAUAAAUGUUGAAAUGACGAUAAAAAUAGUAAGACGUCACCACUCCCAAACAUCCAAUCCUCAUACCAAGCUCCACAACCAAAUACCUUUUCUCAUUACCUAGCUCCACCUCCAAAUUAUCAAUCUCAUUUACAAUCCACUCCUCUAAAUAACCAAACAAAUUUCCAAGCGCCUCCAAAUUAUCACCAAGUACCUCCUCCUCCAAAUCAAAGCCAGUACAACCCCCAACGUCUAAACCACGAAAAGAAACGUCCCCAAAACUUUACCCCACUAGGUGAAAGUCGCACUUAAUUGUUUGAAAGAUUGAAGAAUGCUGGUCAUUUGAAACCAACAUAGCCAAGGCAUGUCAAUACUAACUCUUGAUUUUUCAAUGCAAGUCAACAUUGUACCUAUCAUUCAAGAGUAGCGGGGCACAAUACAGAAGAUUGUGGCUACCUGAAACAUAGGAUCUAUGAUUUAAUCGAUCAGAAGGUCAUUACGCUCCAGGCACCUACACCAAAUGUUAACAGUAAUCCAUUGCCUAACCAUGGGGGGCCUACAGCUAACAUGAUUGAAAUAGAGGGUGAACGGGCAUCCAGCAAGACCAUCACUAAGGUAAAUUCAAAAGGACUCAAAAGAAUAAAAGAGGUGGAGAAGAUAGAGAAAGUUGUGACCACCUUAAGUAAGGAUUUGGAAGGAAUUGUUGAGCCUGUUAUGGUCCCAGAAAAAGCAUUUAAGCAUGGAAUAGAGUACCAACCAAGAAAAGAAAAUGAGAUCGAAGAUAAUUCAAAGGAGAGUCCGUCUAAACCAUCGUCACUCCUGCACCAAUUAUUUCCCUUACAUGAGACGUUAAAUGAUGAUGGUAUUGGGGAUGGGAUAGGAAAUCUGUUCAAGGGAUACAGUGCUGUAUCAGAAGAUUUUUCAAAACAUAGUGGGGUAAAGAAGGUUGCACCAGGAGAGGCUUUGCAAAAUUGGACUUCCACUCCGCUCCUAAUUCAUCACCCGUCGCUGUAGAUGGAAAGACAAUUACUAAUAGUUUUUAAAAUCGGUGAUGAUUCGGAAGAGGCCCUGUGAUCCAUCCUUUUAUGUCUCAAAUUGUCGUUUCGUGUUUUACAACUUUCAAAAAGGCAUGGGCCCACAUUUGUGUGGGUCAUAAGCCAUGGUUUUAUUUUCUUAUUUUCUGAAAGGCCUCCCUUUAUUUAAGAAGUUAUUUUUUUAAAUAUGAUUAUCUAGCAUGGUUUAUAUUGGUAGCAUUAAUUUAAAAACCUGUCAAUGUCAUGUCAUGUCAAGGGUAAGAUGAACACGGCGAAGGAAAUAAUGAUGAACAGAAAAGGUGAUGAGGAGCGGUUAGUAGUAGAUAUAAAGGAAUGUGAAAAUCAAAAGAAGCCCAACCUAGAGGAGCCCUAAUCCUACCUGAGACGUAUGGUCAAGAGUGGACCAAACUGAUCAAUUCUGAUGCGGUAAAGAUAUAUCAUGCUUGAAAGAUGUUAUAGUUUUUGCUUCUUGGCUUAUUUGUAAUCUCCUUUAUAAUAGUAUCAAUUUUAUGAAGUGUAAUCGCCUAGAAUCCUUUCCUUUUAUGUUCGAACUACGUUUGACCUGAAUUCCCAAAAGGGAGGCGGCCUAUGUCGGCUUCGGUCAACCCCUUAGGAAAUUUAUCCUUUCCCUUUAUGUAUGAACUACGUGAUGACCUAAAUUCCUGAGAAAGGGAUACGUAGGUGGCCUAUGUCGGCUUUGGUCAACCCAUUAAUUUCUUUUGUAUAUCCCUAGCGUAGUUUUGAACUACGUUUGACCUGAUUCCUGCUUCAACGGGAUACGUAGGCACCCCAACGGCUCAGUCAUACCCUAGAAAAUGGAAACUGGGGCAGAAUUUUCGAGAAGGAACCUCAAAAAUUCAUAAGAGAAGAUCGAUGCCGAACAAAGAGAAUGAAGAUCAGCAAAGACUUCAGAUCCACUCGAGUUAGUAUCAUCCCAAACAACUCUAAACUGGGGCAAAAAGUUUGAGGGAAGACCUCAAAAUUUCGACCAGACGCUGGAACAUAUUUCAAAUUCCCCAGCACUAGAGGUCAAAGUUGAGAUUGGAGAAUCACCACCUGUGAUAAAUAUUAGGAAGAUUGAAUCACCGUCUUUGAUAAAAACUUCUGGUAGAGAUCCUUGACAAUACUGAAUCCCUAACAAUCCUCUGUCAAACGUCGGACAUUGUCAGAAUCAAGAAAAAGAUGGUCGUUGGACUAGCACAUGACAUGACUAGCAGAGAUUUUCUAAAGCUUUCGAAACUAAUUUCUAAAAUUUAAGACUACUUUCAAAAAUCCUCAUAAAUCUUUUAAUUAGUAUUUACCUAGACAUCAAUUGGGACGGAGAGUCAGGGGUAGAGGUCCCAGCAUGAUGAAGCACCUGAAAGAUGGCGAGGAGCAAAUCAAGGAUUGAAUGAGGUCAAAACGGAGUAAUUUUAUUCAAACUAAUCAUUUUUUUGUGGAUGCAGGGAUCAAUACACAAAAAUAAGAGUCUCUUUCAAAAAAUACCCAGCAAAUUGGGUGCCACACUGGAGCAUUAAUGCCCAAGAACGGUGUUUUAGGGUAGCCCUAAAAAUAGGUUUAAUGCCCAUUUAAUGAGGACCUUUUGAUUUGUCCAUCUCAUUUCUUGAGAUCGUAGGCGACAAACAAAAGCUCUUUGUCUUCUUUACAAAUAUUAUAUUUAGAAGUUUCCUAAAAAUAGUCGCUAGUAAAAGAGACUUUGUGUUUACUAAUCGUCCACCUUGAGUACAGGUACAUGUAGAAAGCAGGACACUGACAAAUAAAGCCACGUAAAAUUAUUUUAUCAUUGCCGCAAAGGCCAUUAGAUAUCAUUGCCGCAAAGGCCAUCGCAUAUCAUUGCCGUAAAGGCCAUGACAUAUUAUUAUCGCAAGGGCAAUCACAUAUCAUUGCCGCAAAGAACAAUACAUAUCAUUGCUGCAAAGACCAUUACAUAUCAUUGCCGCAAAGGUCAUUACAUAUCAUUGCCGCAAAGUCCAUUACAUAUCAUUGCCGUAAAGGCCAUUACAUAUCAUCGCCAUAAAGGCCAUUACAUAUCAUUGCCGCCAGGGCAAUCUCAUAUCAUUGCCACAAUGGCCAUUUCAUAUCAUUACCGCAAAGGCCAUCUCAUACCAUUGCCCCAGAAGGCAUUCAAUAUCUGUUGACGCGCUAGACACAAUGCUGGCAUCGAGGAUAUCAUCAUCAUUCAAUAUCUGUUGACGCGCUAGACACAAUGCUGGCAUCGAGGAUAUCAUCAUUCAAUAUCUGUUGAUGUGCUAGACACAACGUUGGCGUCGAGGAUAUCCUCAUCAUUCAAUAUCUAUUGAUGCGCUAGACAUAACACUGGCAUCGAGGAUAUCACCAGCAUUCAAUAUAUCUGUUGACGUGCUAGACACAACGCUGGCAUCGAGGAUAUCAUCAUCUUUUCAUGAAUCAGUAGCUGAAUGCAUCGAGAGCGCAUGAUUUGAAGGGACGCCUUUAAGUCGCUAUCUAUGGAUGAAAGAUAUAUAAGGUUUCCUAGAAAUUGACAAUUUGAGGGUCAUCUAUAAGUCAUAUUAUUUGAAAUAGGAUAGUGUGCAAGAUCACCUAUGAGUUGAUAGCUUGUAGGUCAUCCGUAAGCCACAACAACAUCCUAACCGAAUAAUGUGCAAGAUUGCCCAAAAAUCGAUAGUUCAAAGGUUAUCCACAAGCCGCAACUAAAUCCUUACCGGAGAAUAUGCAAGAUUAACAAAUUGAUAUGUCCAAAGGUUCUCUAUAAGACGCGUCAUAUCCAAGAUUGAUUAUGUGCAGGAUUACCCAAAGACUAAUAAUUUGAGGGAUUAUCUAUAAGUCAUAUUGUAUCCAAGGUCGGAUGAUGUGCAUCAACACCUGAAAGCUAGCAACUGGAGGGAUAUCGGUAAGCCAUCUCUUAUCCAAAGUCAAAUAAUGUGCAGGAUUACCUAAAAGCUAGCAAUUCAAAGGAUAUUUGUAAGUCGCCUCGUAUCCAACUUCAAAUAAUGCACAAGAUUAUCCAAAGAUUGACAAUUUAAAAAAAAAAAUUAUAAAUCGAUCAUCUGCUAUAACCAAAGAGGUUAUCAUUCCACAUACAAAAAGUGAUAUAGGUAACCAAAAGGGUUGCCACACCAGUAUAAGAUUACACAGCUAUAGGGACCGUUCUACAAAAAAUAUCCUCGGUGUCCAAAAGGGCCACCCCACUCUGAAGGCAUAUUCAACCGACAAAUGUCAUAAUUAUACAACAACCAAGAUGAUUGUUGUAUUUGUUGUUGCCAGUUAUUUCAUUCCAAAACAGGUGCAUGGAAAGAUGACUUUGCUUCUUAGACAACAACUCACGUGGAGAUGUGGUAAAAACUAUACUCCUUUCUCGUGAAUUGUGCUUAUUAUUAAUGAUUUUUGUUUGAGAUAUUGUUGAGAGCAUCCGAGAGGAUGAAAAUCUCAAAUCAAAACCACAGGUGCGGACGACUCCCAAAAAGAACGCAGCACAACGUCGAACUCUGACUCAGCAGCAAAAUGGGACAUAGUCUGGAGAGAGAUGCCAAACUCUCUAGACACGAGCUAAAUGAUGAUCACCACCACCAUCUAACCACGCCUCUAUUAGAAAGAAUGUGGGUAUUUUUGGAUAUUAUGGUCUCAGCUUUACUUUUGAGAUGUUUUCUUAACUCAUAUCGAGAGGAACUUUCUCAUCCUUUCAAAUUCAAGUGACAACAUACUUAGAAUUUUGGAAAUUAUGGCCGGGUAAGUUCUUUUCUAUGAGUGGGAAGGAUCCCACAUUCUUGAUUAAGAGGUUACAAGCCUUUUUCCACAGCUCAAUCAACUUGUCAUUUAUCCUAAGCCAAAGACCGUCUGAAAUAAAGGCUAUCUUUUCUACCGAUUGAGUCGAACUACAAGCAGUCUGAUUCCUUAAGUCUUGGGGAUAUGUAGGCUGGGCUCCGUAUAGAAAACUCAAUUGCGUUCCAACCUCCCCUAAAUCCCUCUACUCCCUCACUUUUUUUAUUUUAUCAUAAAUUCCCAAAAAAUCGAGAUAUCUUGUGAAUUUUUGAAACCUGAUGCCGAGGUCCUGCCAUAACUCCUUAGGAUCGUACAUAAACCAACUUCCUCCAGAUAUGAAUUUGUGGUCGGACAAAAUUAGGGACAUCAACCUCUCUUUGCCCAGGGUCACUUGCAUUCACCCUAUCCAAAGGGAGAGGGCAGUUGUUGACACCUAAUUUUUGCCCACAGUAACUGAGUUUAGUCUCGAGUUUCUUUGAUUUUAAAAAAAAAUUACAACAUUUACUUUACCCGAAUAAAAGAUUUUCAAAUCGUUUAGUUGGCUAAUUUCAUCGUUUAAGUGAUGAUUAUAUACUAUCGUAUUCAAUUAUACGAAAAUAUAUAUAUAAUUUUGUCGCUUAAACAUUUAUUCUACGGAAUGCCGGUAUUUUAAUUAAGGAUUAUCUUGAAAAUAAUUUUACUAAUUAGAAUCUUGAUUCAAAUAAUUUACUCUCAAAAAAUAAUUUAUUCAGAUGAAUAUGUAUUCAAUUUUUAUCGAAUCAAGAAGCUCGGGGUUAAAUAAGCUAUUAAUUCAUUUCAAGAAAUGAUUUAAUUUGGCCAAUCUGUUAGAUUCGGCCGCAAUUGAAAUCAAAUUGGUAAUAAUUGUGAUGCAAUUGGCCAAUUGAUCUUCAAUUCGGCCAAAACCUAAAUGAAUGGCCAAAUCCUCAAUUUCGACCCAAUUAGCAAAUCAGUAGCGGCCCAUUUUCUCUUCAAUUAUAUCAAUCGAACCGAGCCAUAUAUUCCUGACCCACCAGCCCACUCUCUAUUUUCCAAAUUCCCAAAAUAAUCUAAACCAGUCCAAUGAUAUUUAACUGUCACCCCAAGCCCAAUAUCAAACGACCGGCCCAGCGCCUAAACCCCUACUAACCCAUCUUCUUUUCCUCCUUAAAUUCCAUAAGCAACAGCAACUUCAAGUCAACACCAACCAUCAUCAACACCAACCAAAUCCAAAACCCACCUUCAACCCAGAAUUCGGAGAAACCAGUAACCAACUCCAUCCUUCUUCACGCGUUCCACAUGAUAGCACGAUAAGAAAAAACCUAAAAGCUUCUAGAAAAUGGGUGAGUUGGCUUACCCCAACGGCCAAAUUCCUUGAAUCUCAGAAUUAUUGGUACGAUUUCGUACCUAUGUGUUUUUUGGUUUUGAUUGGUCUUGGGAGCGGAUUUAUACGUUUCCUUUUCCUAUUGGUUGGAACCAAUUCGAAAUUUUUCAAGAAUCCAAAAAUCGGUAAAAGUUCGAGUAACAAAUCCUAUUAUCAACCUUAUCAUCAGUUUUGAAUUUUGAAAUUUUGGAAAAAUACCAAGACUGACCUUACGGAAAGCCCAAAAAUGAACCCUAUCUUUUUGUUCCUCUAUAAAGAGGUGGGCUUGAGGGUUCUAAGGGGGUCUGAGGGAGGAAAAAAGUUCUUGCGAGGAAAAUUCUAGGUCACUAUUUAGGUUAUUUUUUUCUCUUCUUUCCCUUCUGAUGUUGAUAUUACGAGGUUAGUUAUCGAGAGGGGUUUUUCUUUUCUUUCUUUAUUUUGGCUUUUCAGGGAGGGGUUAGAAAUCUUGGUUGAAGAUUAGAAGGUUAGAGACAAGAUUUCGAAAGAAACUGAAGGAAAAUUUUUCUUAAGUUAGCUUGAAAGGCUGAUUAUAAGUUGGGUUGGGGAUUCUGAAAUCAAAGAAGUUUAUUUCGUGAAAAAUUUGCUCGUCCAUUUCUUUUUGGGAAGCUAGUCGAUUAAUUGGGAAUUCCCGAGUCGACAACAUCAAUUCCCAGUGGUGAUGACUUUACUGAUAGCUCAUCGUCCCACUUGCUGCUCUGGAACAUGUAAAGAUCCCUCAUCCUAUUUAAUUUACCGUACUAUUUUUCCACCUCGUUUUGCUGUAAUAAUGUUUGGUCGUUCAAAUAUGAGGUCUAUUGGGGAGGGAGGGGCUUUGUUGGUUUAAAAGAUGAACAUAGUGGCUUUUGUCAGGGUGUAUGGUCUUUUAAAUGGUGGAGAGUCUGUUGUCUGGUUAUUUUCUUAAAGAAAUCCCUAUUCAUGGUUUCAUCUUGGUUGGUUCUGGUUCACUUGUUUGAUUUUGUUCACAAGACUGAAGCUUAAAAUGUGUAGGGGCGUACUCAGGGAAGUAUGAGUCUGUUUUCUUGAUUCCCAUAUGUAAUAAUGCAGAAAGUGAUGGCUCUUUGGGGUUGUUUCUGGAUGUGUUUUAAUCAUAUCCUUGUAUAGCAUACCAAGUCCAGAUUGUCAGGUUUUCUAUAUCAUUUCUUUCUAGAAUUUUCCUUUCAUCUAAGUUCUAUCCUUGGCUUUCAAUUUUCUGUUCCCAGGUCGGAUUGACAACAUUCUGUUCGUAGCUCAUAUUUGGUGUGGUUCUGAUGGUCAUUAUUAGUCUAAUGUGAUGCUCAUAAGUUGGGGUGCAAUUAAAUCUAUGUUAGUUUAAUGAAUUGCUUGUAUCAAAUCUGGGUAUCUUUUGCCUUAAGUUGCUCUUUGUUGUUAUGUAUAGCACUAUUAUUAUACUAACGGGAUAUCAGAUACGUUUUCAUGUUUCUUUGAGCGUUGUUUCUAGACGUUUCGCCAAGUAAGGAGUUCUCUGCCUGUUGAAUAAAAAUAAGUAUCAUCUUGAUAAUUGAUUGAAGUGUUAGUUGUUAGGAUGCUAUAGUAUUUGUGUACCCACUGAAUUUCUUCUAGUUAUUCAUGCUUAAAUUAAUUCCAUAUGUGUGGAUCAUAUUUUUGUUCCAUUGUUUUAUAAACUUGAAUGCAGUUAGGCAUAUGUUAUAAACUCGAAUGCAGUUAGGCAUAUGUUAGAGUAAAUAGUUGCUUCUGCCAAAUGUGGUCCCUUUUCGUAAUGUUUUCCCUUCCUCUGGAUCUUAUGACAUUACACCAUUAAAAUAUAUUUUAAUGCUCUGCCAAGCAUUCUAUCUAAUUGGUUUCCUGCGUAUCGAAUGGAAUUACUAUUAUGUUUAUAUGGAUUGAACUAUUGGUUGUCAUUUUGCAGUGUUCGUGUAUCGGUUCAAAUUCUUUCUUAAGUUCUUUUAGUUGAAUUAUUUCCUCAUCCUUAUUUUUACAUGUUCCUUGCAUGAACCCGCUUUGUGAGAAAAAAAAAUGGACCCUAUUCCUGCUGUUGCAUUAUUAAUGGGGGCCAAUGAGACCCAUUCCUCACGAGCCAAUUAUUAAAAAUCUUAAAACAAGGACCUCAUAGUACGCGGAUCUGAGAGGUUAAUGAAGAACAGCAAUAGAUUAAAGGCCUACGUUUGGAGCGGUUAAGAGGCUCAAAAGUCUCAUUCGUUGUUUUAUUUACUUGUUUAUUUAUUUAUUCAUCUAUUUGGGUCUCAAAGCCAAAGUUGUAAAUUUAAUACAGGUGGAGCGAUACUCGAGCCAAAGGCUCGAAAUAUAAACUAGGAUAGGUGGAAGACGAGCUGAAAGCCUAAUAUCUAGACUAGGACAGGGUGACGAAUUUGGGCAUAAAGGCCCAAAUAAUUUAUUUCUUCCUCUAUUUUCCUUUCGUUAUUUUAUUUUCUUAGUGUUCGAAUCUAGUUAACUCCCUAACUAAGUCGCUAAAAAACUGAUUUUGCAAAAACCUUCUCAGUAAUUAACUACUUUUCCAACAAAUCGAUUUUUCAAAGUUAGUCAAAAGAACGUUUUCAAACAGAUUGGAUAACCGCAAGUUAGAGGACGUUUUAGGUGUCUAACACCUUCCUAAAACAUUAAUAGGAACCGCUUACUCAGAAUCUUCAAACUUAAAAUGAUUUUUCUGUUUUGAAUCGUUUGAAGUAACUCCCUAAAAGUUUCUUAAUUCCUUUUCAAAAUUAAGUGGCGACUCUCUUUCACAAAAUGUCAAAAUUUUAUCAAAACAGUGAUUACACUUUUUGAAUUUCAAAACACAAGUUCACCUUUCAAGAACUACAUUAAACCAUUUUCAAGUCACUAAUCCACUUUUCAAGUGACUAGUACACAUUUCAAGGAACUACACUUAACCAUUUUCAACGCUCUAAUUCACAUUUCAAGUGACUAAGUCUAACCAUUUUCAAGUCAUGAAUUCAUAUUUCAAGUGUCAACAGUAAACCAAUUUCAAGUUAUGAAUUCAUAGUUUCAAGUGAUUACACUUUACAAAUUUCAAAACACAAGUUCACCUUUCAAGAACUACACUAAACCAUUUUCAAGUCCCUAAUCCACUUUUCAAGUUACUAGUACAUAUUUCAAAAUGCUACACUUAACUAUUUUCAACACUGCACUGAACCAAUAUUCAAAACUUUAACGCGUCCGUUAAUGUUAAUUAAAACAUAUGCUUGAAUUCCACAUGUAUUUGUGAGUGAUUGAAUAUGGCACUAACACAGCAUGGGAUGGCCAGCUUGUUUGUGUAACAUAUUUGAAAACCCCAACUAACAAAUCUAUAAAAUAAAAUUGAAAGUGACAAUACCAAGUGAUAUAUAUAUAUAUAUAUAUGAUGAAUAAUGAAUAAUUAGAUAAAAAAAAUUAUUUAUUAUAAGAUUUUACGAAUUAACACAAGUUAUAUAGUUCUAGUCAUUACUCAACCAUAGUGUUAAUUAGGUCCAUUAAUGUUUCCUGUGUUUAUCCCUUAUGAUUCAUGAAAAAAAAAGAUUAUAUUCUAGUAUCUAAUGUUUCUAUUAAUCUAUAAUGAACUCCAACUAUGAGAGGGUUAUAACUUAGUGAUCAAAAGCAUAGGCAUAAUUAACAACUCAGUUUACAAACCCCUCCUGUAUUACUUCAACAAUAAAAAGGAAAUUAAAACUCAAAUGAACACAGAUAAACUACGAAAAAUACCAACUUCAAAAUAAAAAGAUCGAACCAAAAUACGAGAGAUAGAGAAGAAGGGGAUGAGAAGUGCAGACUUAAAAUUAGGGAUGAGAAGACUACGGAUUUUUCAUAGUAAUUUUGUUUGCCUCUUCUCUUCUUCAUACGUGUUAUUAUUUAUAACUAAUGCAUCACCCGAGUCCCACACAUAACUUUUUCAUUUUCUAAUUUUUCCCUUCACUGUAUAUUCUUGACUCAAAUCAUUCAUAACACAUAAGUAAACGUCAAUUAAACUAAAUUUGUUCAUCAAGCACAACUGAAAAUAGUGAAAAAUAAUAAAGCAGCAAGUAGAUAUCAAUUAAGGUAAGAGAGCUAACGGAGAAAAGAAUGAGGAAGACCAGAGAGGCGGUGGGACGACUGAUAUAGAUGGCUUUUCGUCAAUGAAAACUCCGGCGUUAUCUCGAUGGCGGCAUCCACUAGUGCUUUGCCGGCUAACAUCGCGGAUGCUGAGAGCAUUUCAUGGUGUCAGCGCUGGCUUUGAGGCUAGCCGAUUGGUCUGUCAAUAUUGGCGACACGACAGGGAGAAGAAGAAGGCAAGGGAGGCGGCGCCAUUGUUGGUCAGUCCACCGGCGGCGGUUCGCUGUCUGUUAUGAGAGUCUUCUAGAGAGAGAGAAUAUAGGGAAGGAAGAGCCUUUGUGCGACGGAAAAAUGGGGGCUUAGGGUUUGGUCAUGUGUUUUAAAAGGAAAGAG